CUCAGCCUCCUGAGUAGCUGGGACUACAGGCGCGUGCCACCAUGCCCAGGUGUCUAAGGUGAAGGAAAGGGAAGAUGAUUGGCCAGGUGUAUGGACAAUGGGAUUGGCUCCUAAGGAGCGUGGUUAUUGAAGGUCCUGAAGAGGAGGAGGAGGUUGGAUAGCCCUGGUGCUGGAAGAUGCAUCCAUUUGGACCUGGGCUGAAGGGCCUGAAGAAGAGUGUUCUGGAAGGCUCUCAGAUUCAGAGAAAUGGGUAGACCUCCUUGUCCAUGGGACCUCAUUGGAAGAAAACUCAGAGGAGAGGUC